AAUCCCCACCAUCGUCAGUACUGAGUUUCUCUAAUAAAACUGGCCAUGUUACUUGUUUUCUAUGUUGAUCUUUUUGAUUGUUUCGUGUAUCUGCUUCUUACACCACAAGUCUUUUGCCCACUCGCUGCAGGGUAUCUUUCAUAAAGGAUUCUUCAUACAGAGUCAUGCUUUUGUCCCUGGGCAGCUUUUGGCUGAACAUGUGUUUGUAUGAGGAUUUCAAAUAUAAGGAAGACUCCUUCCAUUGAAAGAGCACCACAAGUCAUAGCAAGCAGAGUAUGCUUUACAGAUAAUCCUUUCACAAAGAGGCAGCCUUCAUUAAUGAGUAAUGUGGCUUCCCAGGAAAAAUAUGGACUCGUGGGAAAGUAGAAAGAAUUGCUCCAACACAACCUGCCAGUGUUGAUACUCCUAAUCUAUGUUCCAUAACCUGAAAGCCAUUUCCUUUGUAUCCAUUUCGGAUACUGCUGUCUGCUCAAUACCACCUGAUUAAUUAGCACUGACCAGUCCAGAACCUAAUGAUACCCAAUGAGGGGGAAAGAUUAAGAUCAGAUGGACUAGAUGUGGUGUGUUUUGAGUCAAACCCUUCGGGAUGGAAGCCUUGGCAUUUACUGAGACGUGUGCAUUACUGAUGUCUUCAACUCCUGACGCUGUGGCACAGAAUCCUAAGCUUUAUCCUUGGCAGCCUCACCUGACCUGGAGAUAACACAGCUGGCAAGCCAUGAGAGAUAUAAGUUUUACACUUGAGAUUUUUCCUUUGCUCUUGGGCCCCCACUAGUUGGGAAUGUUCUGAACGUGCAGCUCAGAACUGUUGGGGGAAGAGAAGGAUUUCAUGCAACUAUACGCCAUAUUUCACUGGUUGUGAAUGGGAAGAUUAGCUUCACCACUGUCCUCUAGUGGCUGCUCUACGGAAGAAAAAAGCCCUGACACUACUUGUGGGUAAUGGAGGAUCUCCUACUUAGGAGACAUUUAUUUUUUGAGUCAAGAGUCCUCAUGCUACAAGUACACAUUG